ACCCGCUGAACUUAAGCAUAUCAGUAAGCGGAGGAAAAGAAACUAACUAGGAUUCCCCGAGUAGCGGCGAGCGAAAGGGGAGAAGCCCAGCGCCGAAGCCCGCGGCCUCUGGUCGCAGUGCAAUGUGGCGUUUCGGCUGCGGCUCGCCGCGACUUCUCUGGCACGCGUACCUCUGAACGGGUCUGCCCUUAGCGGGUGUCAGGCCUCUACCUGCCGUGAGUCGUCGUGGCCCGCCGUAGCCGCGGAGUCGGGUUGCUUGAGAGUGCAGCCCAAAGUGGGUGGUAAGCUCCAUCUAAGGCUAAAUACCUAGUGCGAGACCGAUAGCAAACAAGUACCGUGAGGGAAAGUUGCAAAGAACUUUGAAAAGAGAGUUCAAGAGUACGUGAAACCGUUCAGAGGCAAACGGACGGAACUGGGCGAGUUCGUCGCGGUCAUUCAGCCGACGCUUAACGGCGUCGGUGCACUUGGCCGCGGCGGAGCGCGACGACCGCCUGUCGGGUUGUCUGAAGCCCGGCGGCAAGGUGACGAAGCGCUCGCGCUUCGUGUUACAGGCCGCCGACGCGUCGACUGACCUGACGGGCGAGGAGCGCCUGCUGCGCACUCCCGCCUCGGCGGGAGCCGUCCGACCUGGUGGGCUCGCGGACGCCGGUGGCUAACUGCUCGCAGUUCGUCGUCGCGCGCUCUGCUUGUCGCGCCGGGCGGUGCGGCGCUGCGCACAGGGUCCGAGUCGCGUGGUUCCCGGCACUCCGUCCGACCCGUCUUGAAACACGGACCAAGGAGUUGAGCACGUGCGCGAGUCGAUGGGCGCGUACGAACCCCAGUGGCGUAGCUAAGGCAAAACGGGCGUGAUCCGGCACUAGCGUGUCGGCGCAACGCCGGCCCGCAGCCAACUCGACGAGUAGCUGCGGCGCAAGAGCGCACGUGCUCAGACCCGAAAGGUGGUGAACUAUGCUUGAGCAGGGCGAAGCCAGAGGAAACUCUGGUGGAGGCUCGCAGCGAUCCUGACGUGCAAAUCGGUCGUCAAACUUGAGCAUAGGGGCGAAAGACUAAUCGAACCGCCUAGUAGCUGGUUCCCUCCGAAGUUUCCCUCAGGAUAGCUGGCACUCGAAAUCAACGGUUUUAUCCGGUAAAGCGAAUGAUUAGAGGCAUUGGGGGCGAAACGCCCUCAACCUAUUCUCAAACUUUAAAUGGGUAAGAAGCGCGACCCUUCCUGAUCGGGGUCGCGUGCUUGAACGGAGAGUGCCCAGUGGGCCGUUUUUGGUAAGCAGAACUGGCGCUGUGGGAUGAACCAAACGUGCGGUUAGGGUGCCUAACGCACGCUCAUGAGACACCACAAAAGGUGUUGGUUGAUAUAGACAGCAGGACGGUGGCCAUGGAAGUCGGAAUCCGCUAAGGAGUGUGUAACAACUCACCUGCCGAAUCAACUAGCCCUGAAAAUGGAUGGCGCUGGAGCGUGCGACCCAUACCGCACCGUCGGGGCAAUGCGUGCGAAAUGCCAGGCCCCGAUGAGUAGGAGGGCGUGUCGGUGGCGUUGAAGCGUUGUGCGCGAGCACGCGUGGAGCCGCCUUCAGUGCAGAUCUUGGUGGUAGUAGCAAGUAUACAAAUGAGAACUUUGUAGACCGAAGUGGAGAAGGGUUCCAUGUGAACAGCAGUUGGACAUGGGUCAGUCGGCCCUAAGAGAUCGGAAAAUUCCGUUCUGAACGGGGGAGGACUCGUGCACGCGGCGUCUGAAAGAAACUAAUAUUUCCAGCGCGCUCGCGUGUCACGUGCAUGGCAUCCCCCGAUGCGAUCGAAAGGGAAUCGGGUUAAUAUUCCCGAACCAGGCGGCGGAGAUUGGGCCCUCGGGCCCCAGUGCGGUAACGCAACCGAACUCGGAGACGCCAGCGUCGAUCCCGGGAAGAGUUCUCUUUUCUUUGUUAGGAGCGGACUCCCUGGAAUUGGCUUGUCCAGAGAUAGGGACGUUGCAUCCGUAAAGCGUCGCGCCUCACGCGGCGUCCGGUGCAUCGGCGUUGGCCCUUGAAAAUCCGAGGAAGGCAGUGUAAUUUUCGCCCCUGGCCGUACCCGAAUCCGCAGCAGGUCUCCAAGGUGAACAGCCUCUGGUCGAUAGAACAAUGUAGGUAAGGGAAGUCGGCAAAUCCGAUCCGUAACUUCGGGAUAAGGAUUGGCUCUGAGGUGCGGGCUGUUUCGGGUCGCGGCAAGAAGCGGACCGUGCGUUGGCUGGACUGGACGUGCUCGCGCGCGUUCGGACCGCCGCCAGCGCGCGUCCGUGGGAGGCCGUGGCUUUCGCCGGCGGGGGCCUCGCGUCCCCGUCGGCUUCGUUCGGCCUAAACGCACAGCACAGAACUGGCACGGACUCUGGGAACACGACUGUCUAAUUAAAACAAAGCAUCGCGAUGGCCGCUGGUCGGUGUUGACGCGAUGUGAUUUCUGCCCAGUGCUUUGAAUGUCAAAGUGAAGAAAUUCAACCAAGCGCAGGUAAACGGCGGGAGUAACUAUGACUCUCUUAAGGUAGCCAAAUGCCUCGUCAUCUAAUUAGUGACGCGCAUGAAUGGAUUAACGAUGUUCCCACUGUCCCUAUCUACUAUCUAGCGAAACCACAGCCAAGGGAACGGGCUUGGCAAAUACAGCGGGGAAAG
rnacentral:rRNA from 1 species